rnacentral:lncRNA from 1 species
CUACUUCCGGGGAGGAGAGAAAGACGUUACUGAUCCGCUUCUGUCCUGGUUCUGUGGUUGCAGUGGAUCCCAGCAGUAGCUCCAUGCACACUGGAACACCGGGGAUGGGGUGGGGAGAGUGUGUGUGACUUUGACCACGUAGUACUAAUCUGAUAAUAACUUUAAUAAUACACAUACUUAGGUGUUUUUGAUAUGGGGGUCUCCUAUAUUCAGGGCUGGCCGUGAAUUCCUCAGACUCCUGCCUCCACCUCCUAAAGUGUAAGCCUGGGGUAGACAGGGAGUGCUGGGACUGGACCCCAGAGCCUUGGACACGCUAGAGGAGCGUUCGUCCCACUGAGCCACAGCCCUAUCUUUGAUCAAUUUAAACCAGAGGAACUUGAGCACAGACCCUGAAGGGGAAAGGCUCGAGUUGGGCCACACCUUUGAAUACAUUUGAAGUUGUCGGUGAGUCGCUGAGGGACUCCAGUCAAAUGGCAAGUGCCCUCUUAACCUCCAUUUGCUUGGAUUUUUGCAAUGGGACACCUUUGGUGCACAGGCUGACUCUCAUUGGUUACCCUCUCUGCUUAAGUCCCUGCUUUGCCUGAUCUCCCAGAACAGGCACAUUUUAACUACUCAGCUAACCCACUAACUGCACCCCUGACUGGCAGAAAGAAGGCGGGCACAUCCUCAGAUACACAUCCCUCCGGAAGGAGCCUAGAUAGAAGGUCUGUCCCUUGUUACUUCAGCCUCACUUUUGAAUGGUCAGCGACUGGCAUAUGGGUGUCUGCGGAGCCCUGGACCCCACAGGCCCAAUGUAUGUAGGUUCAGUUAUGCCACUGACCUUAGCCAAGAACCAGACCACAGAGUUGCUACAUCAGGGGCGGGCCUUAUUACUAGGUUGGGGGUUCCAUGCCCUUAGGAUUGUGGAGCAAGGAAAAUUCUUUGCCCUCAGGAGACCAUGUCCUCUGGUUGACACAAAAGGAUAUCAGGCUGAAGAGACAGUUCAGUGGGUAAAGUGUGUGUCAUAUAGCAUGAGGACCACAUAAACCAUGUGUGGUGGCCCACACUUGUAACCCCUGUCAACAUAGGAUGACAGACACGGGAUCCAAAGGCUGAACUACUCUGGUCACCUCCAGGUUCAGCCAAAAGCCUGUCUCAGGUACGGCUAGGAGCACUGCCUGUUCAUUCAUGUUGGGUUUGGUUUCCAGCACCCACAUGGCAGCACCCAGCCCCUUGUAGCUCCAUUUCUGGGAGAUCUGAUGCCCUCUUUUGACAUCAGAGCCUGCACACACGUGGUGCACAGAUAAAUAUACAGACAAAACAUCCCAUAAACUUUAAAAAAAGCAAAGCUGGGUAUGGUGGCCACGUGUUUAAUGCUUAGGACUGGGGAGACUGACAGACCUGGAGCUGAGUUAAUACCAGCCUUGCCAGCAUGGCAAGCUACAGGCCAAACACACACAGUGCAACCUUAAAAAAGGUCAUAAGGCAGAGGGCCUCAGUGGUAAGUUGCCUGAGGACCCAACUUCAUAGAGAUGUAGCUACACUUCUGUAAGUCUAGAUCAGGGAGAUGGAGACUGUCAGAGGGUGGCCAUGCACCCCCGGGCAUAGGGACUCACAGCCACUUGGGCCCAAGACAGGUCAAUUGCUUCCCAAAAGCCUGAAGUCUGGGUGAUCCCACACUCUCCUGCCUGUUUGCCACUAAAGCAGAGAUAAGGCAAGGCAGUCUUGUAUUCAUUCCAGCUGUUCCUCCCAUGGCUUCCAGAAGUGGCAGGUUCCCGAGCCAAAGUGGUAAACAGAUUAUUUGCCAUAACAAGGCGUUACCAUGGUUCCGAACAAAAUCUUCCUCACUAGAGGCUUUUGAGGUGUUUCAGGAAGUGUAACUUGUGGGGACAGAGGUCAGCAUGGAACAGGCAUGAACAGUGUUGUGGUGUGUCCUGGUGGUCUCACCAUUAUCCUACCAAGAGACUAGGAUGCCACUGGGAUCUGAAACAAGGGGACAAUACUUGGGAGGGGACCCAAGGACCAGUGUACAGAUGAGAAUGUAGGAGGCAGCUGUGGGAGCAUAGGCUUGUGUGAUGUGUCUGCUGACCCAGCUUUACAGCUGGAAUCAACUCACCCAACCUGCUGGGCACACCUGUAGGGGACGCUUGUGCUGGGACCCCCUAAACCUGGGCCACACCUUCCGGUGGUAGCCCACAUAAGAGGGCAUGGAAGGAGAAUGCUUUUGCUUUUUGCCUGCUUGCCCUCACUGGUGUCAGAACCCUGUUCUUCAGGAUUCCAGUGCAGACCCAAGACCAGCAUCCCCUAGGAAUCCUACAGGACUCCAGCACUGAAUUGGGACUGCUGGCACACUGAAUAGCUACAGUAUUCUUGGAGACAGUCGCUUUGUCGCUGUUGAGAAUACCCAGGUCAUGGCCUGUAAGCCAUUCUAAUAUCCUUACACACACACACACACACACACCUUAUUCUAGCAACUUUUCUUUAGAGGUCCCCUAAUGCAUGACACCCAAGUAUUGAGGACCAUGAGGACGGCCCACUUCACAUGAGGAGGGCAUGGUUUAGCCAAGGAGCACAUGCCUGGCACAGACAGGCCUUGGGUUCAUGUUCAUGGGAAGAGGAAGGGGCAAGCAUCUAGAUCUUGUGCCAGGCCUCAGGGUAGGGGUGACCCUUAGAUCAACACUGGGUCUUUUGAAUGCUACUUUAAUAACCUUGUAGACCAUGAAAUAUGACGAUAAAUUCUAGAAACAGAAACAGACAUGAGACUUUUAUACAAAAAUUUGUUGCUUACAAAACAUACG